rnacentral:rRNA from 1 species
UACAGAGGUCUCAAGCGUUGUUCGGAUUCAUUGGGCGUAAAGGGUGCGUAGGUGGCGAGGUAAGUCAGGUGUGAAAUUUCGGAGCUUAACUCCGAAACUGCAUUUGAUACUGCCUUGCUUGAGGACUGGAGAGGAGACUGGAAUUCACGGUGUAGCAGUGAAAUGCGUAGAGAUCGGGAGGAACAUCAGUUGCGAAGGCGGCUCUCUGGACCAGCACUGACACUGAGGCACGAAAGCGUGGGGAGCAAACAGG